AUGUAUUGUUUUAGGGCCAUCGACCAAACUUUCCAGGCCAUGGGUCAUGGGUCAAGAUAUGCUUGGACCUGUGGCCAUGACAAGAGACCCAGAACCUUCUUGACAUUUCUAAAGCCAGCGGAGGCAACAUGCAGGCCUCAGGGUUCCAAAUGCAUCUCUCCAACACCGCGUAGAAUUUGUAUAUUGAAAAACAAAUGUCUCUUUGUGCUUUAUGAUGGAUGUGGUGGUCAUUUAACGAUGUUUUGAGGGGACUCUAGUGGCCGUUGGCUUCCCGGAACCCAAAAAAACACUUUUAAUUUGUUUUUUAAAAUUGGCCACUAGAGGGCGAAUUGGGUUUUUUUUUCCAUUAAAAUUUUUUACCAUCCUUCCAAGACUCCAGGAUAGGUGAGACCAGCCACCGACAGCCCACUCUGUUCGGAAGAUUACUUGUGCCGUGCAUUGUACAAAUGCAGCUAAAGUUUGACACCCUCUGUGUUCUUAGGAUUGGGUUCCUAGUUCUCAAGGUUGUGCUGGGAAAUCCGAAUCAAAGCUCCGAGGUCCUUCCUCAGAGCAGGAAGCUGGAAACUGGGAGAGAACGAAGCAGGAGCCGUGGGCCCCGUGAUCACCGCAGAUGGUGACAGCAGCCAUGAAAUUAAAGGACGCCUGCUUCUUGGGAGGAAAGCGAUGACAAACCUUGACAGCAUCUUAAAAAGCAGAGACAUCUCCUUGCCGACAAAGGUCCGUGUAGUCAAACCUAUGGUUUUUUCCAUUCAUGAUGUAUGGAAGCGAGAGCUGGACCAUAAAGAAGGCUGACCGCCAAAGAAUUGAUGCUUUUGAAUUGUGGUGCUGUAGGAGGCUCUUGAGAGUCCCCUGGACUGCAAGGAGAACAAACCUACCUGUUCUGAAAGAAAUCAACCCUGAGUGCUCACUGGAAGGACCGAUCCUGAAGCUGAGGCUCCAGUACUUUGGCCAUCUCAUGAGAAGAGAGAAGACUCCCUGGAAAAGACCCUGAUGUUGGGAAAGAGUGAAGGCAAGAGGAGAAGGGGACGACAGAGGACGAGAUGGCUGGACAGGGUCAUCGAAGCGACCAACGUGACUUUGACCCAACUUCGGGAGGCAAUGGAAGACAGGAGGGCCUGGCGUGCUCUGGUCCGUGGGGUCAUGAAGAGUCAGACACGACUUAACGGGUCUAAACAACAACAAGGAGAAAGUGAACAACGAACGUGACAAAGCAGGACUGCUGGUGAACAUGACCAAAAUCAUGACCACAGAAGGACUACACAACUCAAACAUUGACAAUGUUUGACAAUGACGAAUUGACAAUGAAGAACUUGAAACCAUUAGAGAUUUGGUUUACCUCGGUUCAGUCAUCAACCAAAACGGAGACGGCAGCCAAGAAAUCAGAAGAUGGAGACUCAGAAGGGUAGCUAUGAAGGAACUAGAAAAGAUCCUCAAGUGUCUCAGGAUGCGUCCUUGGAGAUCAAAACCAAGAUCAUCUCUACACUCUUGUAUUUCUGAUCAUCGUGUGUGGGCAUGAAAGCUGGAUAGUGGAGAAAGCUGAUGGGGGGGGAAUGAUUUGUUUGAAAUGGGGUGCUCAAGGAGAGCUCUGCAGAUACAUACCCUGGACCGCCAGAAAGGUUUUUUUUAAAAAGGAUCCUAGAUCAAAUCAAGCCUGAAUUUUUCUGGAGGCAGAAGUGUUAAAACCAACCUACUUUGGGCCCAUCCUGAGAAGCCAGGAUUUUCUGGAAAAGGCAAAUCAUGCUGGGAAAGGUGGAAGGCCACGGGAAAAGAGGAAGACUAAAUACGAGAUGUACUGACACCCUACAGGAAGCCACCAUCCUGGGUUUGCAAGACCUGGGCAGGGCUGUUGAGGGCAGGACCUAAACCGGAGGUGACUUGACCACCCAUAACAACAACGAGGGCAACAAAAUGGAGGCAGCUAUGAAUUCUAACAGUAUUAGAAACGUCUGUUUAAAAUAGUUGGAUUUAGGAGGACUUCGAAGCGAAACAAAACCUGCUCCGUUUUUUUUUUUUUUUUAGGGGAUUCCAGAUCAGAGGGGUAAAGAUCAAGUGCAACUGGAGCCAAAGGGAAGCUUAGACGUUAGCUGGAAAUCUUGAUCUCCUCUCCAGGUGUAGCCAAGAAGCCUCAGAUUCUGUUUGAAAAUAAAGAGAAAGGAUUUUUUUAAAAAAUGGAUCUG
rnacentral:lncRNA from 1 species